rnacentral:rRNA from 1 species
CAGUAGCCGCGGGAAAACGGAGGGGGCUAGCGUUGUUCGGAAUUACUGGGCGUAAAGCGCACGUAGGCGGAUUGAAAAGUUGGGGGUGAAAUCCCGGGGCUCAACCUCGGAGCUGCCUCCACAACUAUCAGUCUUGAGUUCGAGAGAGGUGAGUGGAAUUCCGAGUGUAGAGGUGAAAUUCGUAGAUAUUCGGAGGAACACCAGUGGCGAAGGCGGCUCACUGGCUCGAUACUGACGCUGAGGUGCGAAAGCGUGGGGAGCAAACAGGAUUAGAUACCCCUGUAGUCCCUGUCUCUUAUAC